ACGAACGCUGGCGGCGUGCUUAACACAUGCCGGUCGAACGGAAAGGCCCUGCUUGCCGGGUACUCGAGUGGCGAACGGGUGAGUAACACGUGGGUGAUCUGCCCUGCACUUCGGGAUAAGCCUGGGAAACUGGGUCUAAUACCGGAUAGGAGCCAUUUUUAGUGUGAUGGUUGGAAAGUUUUUUCGGUGUAGGAUGAGCUCGCGGCCUAUCAGCUUGUUGGUGGGGUAAUGGCCUACCAAGGCGGCGACGGGUAGCCGGCCUGAGAGGGUGGACGGCCACAUUGGGACUGAGAUACGGCCCAGACUCCUACGGGAGGCAGCAGUGGGGAAUAUUGCACAAUGGGCGCAAGCCUGAUGCAGCGACGCCGCGUGGGGGAUGACGGCCUUCGGGUUGUAAACUCCUUUCGCUAGGGACGAAGCUUUUUGUGACGGUACCUAGAUAAGAAGCACCGGCUAACUACGUG
rnacentral:rRNA from 1 species